rnacentral:misc_RNA from 1 species
GUGAAUCAUCGAAUUUUUGAACGCAAAUUGCACUCUCUUCGGGGAGUAUGCCUGUUUGAGGGUCAGCCUAUAAAAAAUCGACAUCGUUGCUGUUUCGCGGUGGCGUUCGUCGGAAAUUGGGUUAUCUUAAAUCCUUUUGGGUUUUAAGCGACUUAAAAUCUUCUUUUUGGUUCCAUGAACGUUUCUAAGAUUUAUUUCUUUACACGUUUAAGGUAUCGCUUUUUAUUAGACGUGACCUUCAUGUCGAAUCGCGUCCAUAAUCUUUCCUUAACUGCCCUCAGU